UAGUAACGGCGAGUGAAGCGGCAACAGCUCAAAUUUGAAAUCUGGCUCUUUUAGAGUCCGAGUUGUAAUUUGCAGAGGGCGCUUUGGCGUUGGCAGCGGUCCAAGUUCUUUGGAACAGGACGUCACAGAGGGUGAGAAUCCCGUACGUGGUCGCUAGCCUUCGCCGUGUAAAGCCCCUUCGACGAGUCGAGUUGUUUGGGAAUGCAGCUCUAAAUGGGAGGUAAAUUUCUUCUAAAGCUAAAUACUGGCCAGAGACCGAUAGCGCACAAGUAGAGUGAUCGAAAGAUGAAAAGCACUUUGGAAAGAGAGUUAAACAGUACGUGAAAUUGUUGAAAGGGAAACGAUUGAAGUCAGUCGUGUCUGUUGGUUUCAGCCUUUACCGGUGUAUUACCAGCAGACGGGUCAACAUCAGUUUUGGACGGUGGAAAAAGACAGGGAGAACGUGGCACCCUCGGGUGUGUUAUAGCUCUCUGUUGCAUACACUGUCUGAGACUGAGGAAUGCAGCUUGCCUUUAUGGCCGGGGUUCGCCCACGUACAAGCUUAGGAUGUUGACAUAAUGGCUUUAAACGACCCGUCUUGAA
rnacentral:rRNA from 1 species